UUCUUCCCUCUUAUUAUACAGGAAUGAAAAAAAGGAAGAAUAUAUAAAACAGAAGAAAGCAGAAAAAAUCCAAGAGAGAAGAAAGCAGGAAAUUCAACAGGCAAAGAAGGAAGAAAAAACAAAAAGGCUGUGGAGGAAUACGAAAAAUGGCUGGAAAAGGUAGAGAUGAGAGAGCAGCUUGCGAAGAAGCAAAAGAAGUUGCAGACUGUUCGUGGGUACGAAGUGCUUUCUCCCUGGAAUCCACCUGGCAAAGUCACAUAUUAAAAGAACUACUGAGCUGUCUAUUGCCUUCUAUGAGAAAAGAUGAUCCACAAUGUUCUGACAAUGGUAGUCAUUAUUUCAAUAAGAGCUGAUUUUCACUGAAUCUGUUAUAGAUGUUGCAUCCUUUCUUUCUAGAUUGUUACAUUGUGAAAUGUAAAUUAAAACUGCAUCAAGCAGAAACAGGAUUUCAUGGGGACAAAUCCAGUCAGCCAUGUGAUGCUACAAAAGAAACUGGAAUGCAUAUAAUGUAAAAUGAUCCAGGACUAAGACUGUAGCUGUUAAUACCAUGGAAUCAUAGAAUAGUAAGGGUUGGGUUGGAAAGGACCUCAAGAUCACCUAGUUCCAAACCCCCUGCCAAUUCAGAUUUCCUGCUUCCUACAGGAAACAGCAGUUUCAGAGGCAUGUUUUGCAGUUCACGCAAAACCUUACAUAAGAACUGCAAGGGCAGAACAGUGGUACUCUCAUGUGGCAACCUUAGACACUGAAUAUUUUUUCUUUGGAACUUAAUUUAAAGGCUUCUGUGGUUGUUUGUACAUGAUCAAGUGAAUCCUUCCCAAACACAUGUUCAUCAUUGCUAAUGAGCUAGUUGCUGUAGUAAAUUAUUAAAAUUCCUUCCUUUUUUUUAAUUUUUUCAUGGCUAUUUGCCUCACUAUUUUGGAAAAAUAGGCAAGACUACGUGUCUUUAGAGAUCUUCAAAUCUCUUGUUUGCCUACUGUCUAAACUCAAGCUGUUACUUACAUUUGUAUUUUCUAUUUGAAUUUUAAUAAUCAUUCCAGAUCAGAUUUGCUCCUCAAAUGUGUAUUCUUAAAAAAGAGCAAAAAAAACCCAAAACCACAAACCAACAAACAAAACAAAACCAACAUCACCAACCAAUAAGAAAACUUAGUCUAUAAAUUAUAAAUGUAUUUUCUCAGAUGAGAAUCUUGCUCCUGUUUAGACUGACAGCCUCCUCAGGAAGUCAAAGGAACAUUUGAGAAGUAGACUUUUUCACUCAAGGCCUGUGCUGUUCAUAAAUCACUGGGAUAGUCAUUAAUUCUGCAUUUCAUGUAACCGUGGGGCAUCUCUUCAGAAAAGGAAAACCACAGGACUAGC
rnacentral:lncRNA from 14 species